CCCGACCAUAGAACAGACAACAGCAGAAGGUCACCAACAAGUCUUCAAUGCAGCGAAAAAUUCUCGCACCCGGAGGCGUCCUUUAGCUGGCCUUUGAACCUUAAACUUUCGUCAUCAAGGCGUGUGCAAUGUCAUUAGACUAGUGAUGUGUUUAAACGGUAUAUAUAAUUACGGUAUAAUUUGGUAGAAUGUAUAUACGAGGGAAGCAGGGAC
rnacentral:lncRNA from 1 species